AGAGUUUGAUUAUGGCUCAGGAUGAACGCUGGCGGCGUGCUUAAUACAUGCAAGUCGAACGAAGAGUCUUGUAGCAAUACGGAGGCUUCUUAGUGGCGAACGGGUGCGUAACGCGUUGGUGACCUGCCCCGAAGUGUGGGAUAACAGUUCGAAAGGACUGCUAAUACCGCAUGUGGACACGAGGGUUAGAGGCUUUGUGUCUAAAGCAGUAAUGCGCUUCGGGAGGGACCUGCGUCCCAUCAGCUAGUUGGUGAGGUAACGGCCCACCAAGGCUACGACGGGUAGGGGACCUGAGAGGGUGGUCCCCCACACUGGCACUGAAACACGGGCCAGACACCUACGGGUGGCAGCAGUAGGGAAUAUUGGGCAAUGGGCGAAAGCCUGACCCAGCAACGCCGCGUGCAUGAUGAAGGUCUUCGGAUCGUAAAAUGCUUUUCUGAGAGAUGAGAAAGGACAGUAUCUCAGGAAUAAGUCUCGGCUAACUACGUGCCAGCAGCCGC
rnacentral:rRNA from 1 species